GGAGGGGAUUCGGUUCCGGUGGGCCGCCCGGUCUUCAAAACCGGUGAGGGGCGUAUGACGUGCCUGGUGGGUUCGACUCCCACUCCCUUCCGCCA
rnacentral:tRNA from 1 species